UCCCGCUUAGCUCAGUGGUAGAGCGCAUCACUAGUAUCUCCGCAAACUCCCGUGCUAUGAUGAGGUCAGUCGUUCAAGUCGGCUAGUGGGAA